UAGCUCAUGCUGUAUGCGGGUAUUCUGGUUGGUUGUUAUGUGGCUGCUUACUAGCUGAAGUCAAACGAGCCCAUUUCCCAGUCUCUAUGAUAUUCUGAUCUCUAGAUAUAGUGCAGGUCCCUCCUUCAUUGUAAAUCUGUAGGAUUUUUAUGCCUUUUUAUCAUUAGGCAAGCGAAAACCAUAAAUCAGAAUGCUCCUCACAGUGACUUUGCAGAUCUGCUUAUUAAACUGCUGUUUUAACAUUGACAAGACUUGACCUUUAAGACUAUGUUUAUAUUGGAAACAGGGAGGUGGUGACCUAGAUUAGGACUCACCUAGACACAGAUACUGUACUGCAUGUACACACCCAUCUAGACAGGAAAACAUAUGUGCAUGCAUAUAUACCACACCCCAGUUUGCAAUUCCAGCCUGGGACAUUAAGGCAGGAAUAAGCUAUUUGAAUGCAUGUGAACUGGUCUGGACGUUUCUGCCAGGCCAUUCUGCUGACGCCCACCCGUGUUACCCACACGCUCAAGGUCUAAGCGUGUGCACAUGUGCAGUGGGGUCUGUUAUGGAGUAGUGUUGAGGGAGGCCAGCUGCCGUCUCUCCCUGCUGAAUUAUUCAGUGUAGAGACUCUUCUUUGUGUGCCACACAGAGAAAGAAAGAGUGCGUGUUAUGUUCAUGCAUGUGCAAAUACUCAUGUGUAUGAAUAAUGCAGCUCUGGUUAUCAGAGCAGUGAGCCAUUGGCCUUAGUCGGGGUAGUGCCAUUUUUGAUUUCGGAUGAGAAUGGAUCAAGGCUCUGAGGGAUGGAAGUACAGUGUGUUCAAUAGUUCAGCUGGAGAGACUUUUAGUAGACAAAAUUUCAAUUUUUUAACAGUUAACCCUGAAUCCAUCCUAGAGUUUUCACCUAAAAACCUGAUAUCGUUUUUUUAUUUAAUUGUCUUGUAAAUUGUCCUUUUUUAUUAUUUCAAAUUUUUACUCGCCAUGAAAAUAGCUAAAAAAGCUGGAGUUGCUUUAAAACUCCAACCAACCAACAAAUUGGACAUUUUCUGUAAUCAUUUGUGAAAUGUAUUACCAAUUUUUAAGGAGUCAGUUAUAUCAUCAAUCAGUAAUUAAUAGUCAAUAACAAUGCCAGUAAGUUUCACAAUUUACAGUUAAACUGACUAACACAACAAAAAUAAUAAACAUUCCUUGAUUUUAAAAAAUGAAAUGAAACUAGCAUGGAGCCUUUCAAUAUUUCUGAUUUAAGUAAACGCUCUUCAAAUAAUUUAUUAUUACAUAAAAAUUUAAUAAUAAAAUAGAAAACUUGUAAGCAGUAGAGAAAAUACAAACAUAAAAAAAAUAACAAAUUUUUGUUUGAAUUUUGCAAUAGAAAUAAAAACAACUAAACAAAGAUACAUAUUACGUAAACUGUUUAAGUAAAAAGUUCAUUAUCUAAACUAUCUACACAAAUCAUUUUUUUUAAUAUACUAUAAUAAUACAUCACAUAACAAAGACAAUUUAAAAUAAGGUGUUACCUUAAAUUCUAUUCUAAAUCAAAUGUUUAAUAAAAGUAUUUCAAUAUUUUUUUCGAGCAUUUGCACAUGCAUGCAUUUGGCUAAUGAUCUGGUUUUAAGAGUUUAUAAACUAGUUUAGUUUAAAGUUUUGCGGGCCGAUGUUUCUGGAGAUGUCUAGUAUUUUUGUUACACCAGUUUUUUCUCAGUGGCUGACUUAACCUUGUAUAUUUAGUCUUAUUUAUUAUUAUAAUAAUAAUUAUUUUUUAAUAUUAACUUAGUAAAGUACCAGUGUAGUGUACAUCUCAAGUCAGUUUUGGAAUGAUGGGUCUAACGAUCAUUAUUCUAAUUUAUCCGAAUAGUAUAAAUUCUGUGGCUAAUUCAAUUGUCUCAUUCUAUUACUAUUUAAGAGUGCAUUUUUUGUUACUGCUAAAGCACAUAUACAGCUUAGUCACAUUGCACCUUUUUAUC